rnacentral:rRNA from 1 species
GAUGAACGCUGGCGGCGUGCCUAAUACAUGCAAGUCGAGCGAACUGAUUAGAAGCUUGCUUCUAUGACGUUAGCGGCGGAUGGGUGAGUAACACGUGGGCAACCUGCCUGUAAGACUGGGAUAACUUCGGGAAACCGAAGCUAAUACCGGAUAGGAUCUUCUCCUUCAUGGGAGAUGAUUGAAAGAUGGUUUCGGCUAUCACUUACAGAUGGGCCCGCGGUGCAUUAGCUAGUUGGUGAGGUAACGGCUCACCAAGGCAACGAUGCAUAGCAGACCUGAGAGGGGAAUCGGCCACACUGGGACAGCGACACGGCCCGGACUCCUACGGGAGGCAGCAGUAGGGAAUCUUCCGCAAUGGACGAAAGUCUGACGGAGCAACGCCGCGUGAGUGAUGAAGGCUUUCGGGUCGUAAAACUCUGUUGUUAGGGAAGAAUAAGUACGAGAGUAACUGCUCGUACCUUGACGGUACCUAACCAGAAAGUCACGGCUAACUACGUGCCAGCCGCCGCCGUAACAC